rnacentral:lncRNA from 1 species
GGUGAUGGUGGUGGGGUAACGGGCCCAGGGCCUAAGGAUAUGAUGCCCCCUGGGAUUGCUGAUGAGGUGGUGGCCUAUGUCAGUAUCCUCUGUGCGAGUGUAGUGACCAGCAGACUCUAGAUGUGCUCCCUCAGUUAUCCACAGUUGGCAUGGGCAUUUGGAAAGGAGACGGGUGGAUCUGCAUAUAGAUUUCUGUCCAAUUAUAGUGCCAUAAGCUGGAAUGGUGUCUCAUCAACCCAAUGGGAUGCUCUUUCUCAGUGAGUAUAGACAUGAGACGUAUAGAGAAGUAAUCAGCAAACACUAAAGCAACAGAUGCUGAGGGACUCAGAGAAGCAAAACA